rnacentral:rRNA from 1 species
AAUCAACGCUGGCGGCGCGCUUAACACAUGCAAGUCGAGCGAGAAAGGGGAGCAAUCCCUGAGUACAGCGGCGUACGGGUGAGUAACACGUGGGUGAUCUACCUUCUAGUGUGGAAUAACCCUGGGAAACCGGGGCUAAUACCGCAUAAGCCUGUGAAGGGAAAGCAGCAAUGCGCUGGAAGAGGAGCCCGCGGCCGAUUAGCUAGUUGGUGAGGUAACGGCCCACCAAGGCGAUGAUCGGUAGCCGGCCUGAGAGGGCACACGGCCACACUGGCACUGAAACACGGGCCAGACUCCUACGGGAGGCAGCAGUGGGGAAUCUUGCACAAUGGAGGCAACUCUGAUGCAGCGACGCCGCGUGAGCGAUGAAGCCCUCGGGGUGUAAAGCUCUUUCGGCAGGGACGAUAAUGACGGUACC